CCCACUUGUUUCGAAAGAUUUACUGACUGCCUUAUAAACACUCUAAUUAAAGGACAACUUUUGAAAAUAAAAAACAAAAUCAACAAGAAAAAUCGCAACACCAGUUUGAAAAAGAAUGGAAAAGCCCGCAGGAUGGGUAUUGAAAGCAAGCAACAGGUUAAUAAAACAGGCAAGAUGGAAAAAUAUAGGCGAACAAAUUAUAAAAUAAAACGAACCCGGCUAAAUCAAGAAUCUGAUUCAGUCCAGCCAAUUCAAAAUACAGAAAAAAAUGACGUUGUAAUCCCAAGUAGUACAAAGGAACUUAUUGGUGGUCCUAGCUCAUCAUGUGAAAAUGCUCCAAAACUCGUUGAAAAGGAUUAUGAACAAAUCGAGAUGGAAAAAUGUGUGACAAUGCUGGAAAAUUUUGUAGCUAAAUUCCCACCGCGAAAUACGAUUCGGGUCGAGCAAAGAGAUUGUCUUCACUUAUCUCUUGAAUACAUUUUAAGUACGUUCACUGAUUUUGAGAAUGAACUGCGGCACAUUUUUAUUAAGUACAAAAAAUACGGUAGAUACCUUUCCAAAAUAAUGGAAUUAACGAGUUGGAAUGAACUAUCCAAUAUCUUAGACGAGAAUCAUAAGUUAAGAAUGAUUAUUUAUCUGGAACAAAAACUGCUUCCAGAACAAGAAUUUGGAAUGCAUAGCGAAUUUUUUAGCUCAGUUCUGAUUUAUGAAUGGGGGUUGCGUGUUUUCAUGAAAAUACAUAAUUUUUCAAACCGACAAGAUGCUCUAGAACACAUCAGGUUGCAGGAAGAUAUGGUCAUUUACGAACGUGACUAAGUGUAAGUCCAAUGUAUCGGGCCACGGUCCAUUUGCCUUAUCCUCAGAGGCGUAGGAGAUGUUUCCCGCGGCUCUGCACAUGACUAAUAAUAUGGAAAUAUUUAAAUCAAUUUCAUCAGUAUUCGUCUUCAUCGCUGCGGCUUCUAGUACGAUCUAGCUCCGAUGUUUUGUAUAUUGCCUCCAGUGGUCUUAUUAUUAAUAUUAUUACCAAUAAAAAAAUACAAAAUUGAUGCGAUGAACAAAAUGUAUUGGGUCUAUUUCACACCAUACCGAAAUGAUCAAAUAUGACCGAUCUUGAACAUGGCAUAUCUGUAUACAAAAGCAGCAUUUUUGAUUUGUUGUUUAGAAUAGUAUGUUAAUAAUCGAAAGGGGUGAAAUGUAUUUAUAUCAGCUUUUGUUUUCUAACUCUUAGUUAUUCGCAAUCUCUUUCCAAAGAUUCAUAUAAAUAUCUACAAUGGUUAUUAUAGUUUAUUCGAUUGCCAAAUUUCUCCGCAGAAUACUUUUGUGAACAUGGCUGCACUUCAAUUAAAUUGUUGCACUUUGUAUGAAAAUCUUCAGCUUGCGAAAAAACUAAGAUUCAGUAUAGUAUGUAGUAGAUGUUAAAAAACUGAAUUUGAAUCAACUUCCGUUUAUCAAAAUUUGCCGUAUAGUAUGUUAUUUACUGUUGUCGCUCUCACAUCAUACAUGUAAUGUUCGAAUGAUCACUUGAAGAAUACCUUCUUCAUCAGGAAAAGCCUUGGUUUUCCUCGUUCAGUUGAGCUGCUCUCAGAAAGUUAUCCGGAUAUCAUGGCCUAGCUACUACCUGGUCGUAGUGGCAAAUGCGUUGUAUGAAAAAGAUCGAAGUUUUUCUAAAUGCAAAAUGCCAAACGAAGAAGGAAAACUUGUCGUUAAACAGCCGAAUUUGCUACUCCCAUGCAGAUUAACACAAUUAUCCAAUUGAACAGCAUAAAUACAAACACUUUCAUCAUCGCCAGGUAUUUGCUGACCUUAUACAUGCAAUUUGAAAUAGUGUUCAAAUAGUUUGACAUGUGAAUUGUAAAUAUAGGAACUCAGCAGCGGUGCCAGUUUAACGUCAUUGUUGCCAGUUUUACGGAGGACCGUGAUGUGCAUCAAAAAAAGAUCACCAGUGUCUAGUCUAUAUA